GUCUCCCCUAUAAAUAUGUAGCGUUGGGUUACAAGACAAUCAAAGUCAUACAAAUCUAUCAAUAACAAUAAAAUGUUCAACCCAAAACAACAUUAGAAACAUAAAGAUAAUAAACAGUACGAUAAAUUGAAUGAAGUUUACCUUAUUUUCCACAAGCAUAUAUCAAACAAAACCUCCAUUUUAAACAUUAUUCCCCACAAAAAAAAUAUUUGAAACCUCUAUUUUAUAAAAUUCUUUACCAUCAUUAGAAACAUUAACCAUAGCUCAACAUAACAUGUAAUAUACCGAACUUCUACAAUU
rnacentral:lncRNA from 1 species